GUUCCUUCACCGCUACAAACAUAGUCCUGAAUGAAGAGACACUCACUCGGCUCUUGUUUGAAGCUGCUCCUGUUUUUAUUUUUGCUGAAGCUGAAACUGAAAGUAUCUUCAACCCUCUUUAACAACGGCCUCUGGUUACAUUAACUAUCAGCGAAAGAAGUGAUGGGUCAGCUAAUAGGAGUACAACAUCAUAAAAUGGAAAACAACUGCAAGGUCACUGUCCGUGGAUGUUCGGGCGAAACUAAGACAAUCGACCUGGGAACUGAGGAACAGUUCAAAGCCGUCACGGUGCAGCAGCUGAAGGAGAAGAUCAUAGAGGCGUUUGAGUAUGAGAACGGAGAGGCUUUAAGGUUUAUAUGUAAUGGCAGAGAGCUGACACAAGACUCCACCCCACUGUGUGAAUAUGGAAUACAAACCUCAUCUGUCAUACAUGUAAUUUUUAGAUUGCGAGGGGGAGGAUUGCCUCCUCCUGAGAGGGGGGAUGGUGGGAUGGGUGACAAAGGAGGUAAAAGCCAAAGCAUGGAACAACUCUAUUUUUUUAAAACCAUUUUAAUAACAGAUCAAAUCCACUCAUCAGUGACAUAAGACCUCAAACAGUUAUCUGAAGUCAUCUCAACCUAACCCCUGUGAACACAGCAGGUCCUCCCACUGAAGAACAGUCACAGGAAAGUUAGUUUGAACAUGUUGACUUGGACAGAAACACAUUCAUUUGGGUGAUUGUUGUGUAAAUGUUAAUCCAGGAACCUGCUGCUGUUGUGAAACACAUCCUAGGCUGCUGGGGGACGACGCACUGAGAACGUGUCCUCUACUUUCUCUUCUUUGGCACUGAGCUCCUGUCCUCUAAUCUCUUAUAAUGUAUUUUCUAUUACAAACAGCUCUGUCUCCUGCUUCUCCUUCCCCUCCCCUCCCCUCCCCUCCAUCUUCUUGUGAGGGUCUCAGGAAUGGAGACGUGAUGUCGGCUCCUGGUGCUGUAGCUGAGCUCUAGUCACUGCUGUUUCUGCCCCUUUUUAAAGAUAUAUUUGUGUACUAUUGGUUACCUCGUUUCAUUUAGUGUUUUGAUUAUCAAUUGAGUUAAGGGAGCUUUGUUUUCUCCCCAGUCUAGUUAGUCGGCUUAGUUUUCUAUGUUCCUUCCUUCUUGUUUUCGUAAAUCAAUUUUGAGUUAAUCUUAUUCUGGGCUUCUGUCAGUGCCAGUACAGGUGGGCUGGUCAUUGGUGUGCAGGUGGAGGCUCACUGGGUGGAGGGUUUUAUUUGCAUGUUUAAUAUUUGUUGUGCCCUAAUUUGUUUGUCUUUUGUUUUUGCAGUGUGUGUGUGUGUGUGUGUGUGUGUGACCUCCCUUUGGGUAGCUGGUGGUGGUGGCCCCUCUCCCCUUCACUCCCCCACCCCUGUGGGCUCUCUGACAGUCAACCUGUGCUGGUUAACACUUCAGUGUAGUGACAGUUCAGCAAUAGAAAUAUUUUUGCAAUAAUAUAGCCUUAUUUUUAAGCCAAGUCCUCCUGCUAUUUAGCUGAUGUGAGAUUUACUUGUGAAUAAAAACUGAAAAUUUUUCAAAACUAGAAAUUCCCUUUUCUGCUCCUUUUUUCCUUAAAACAUAAGAACCUGUAUUCAGUGUGGUUUUCUCUGGGUGAAAGUCCCAGAGUGGCGUUGUCGCAUUGUCAAGGGUGUACAGCUGCCCCAGUUACAUAUCUAUGAAGUUUAUUUAUGGUUCCUCCAUAUGAGCUGGGUUCUGCUGGAGGUUUCUUCCUGUUAAAAGGGAGUUUGCCAUUGUUACCUUCAGGCUGCUCUGGAGUUUCAGGAUGGUUUUCAUAAAGCGUCUUAAGACAAUUUGUAUUAUUGAUGCUAUAUUAAAAAACUGAAUUGAAUUGAAUCUCGGUUAAGACAGGAAUAAAUACAUUUGGUGGAAAUCUUGUUCCUGAGGAUGAUUGAUGUGUUCUAAUAUGUCUUUCUCUUUUUUUUUUUUAACUGCUGACACAUUUUUAAAACCAACCUACACUGUCUUUGUGUUUUAGUAAAUCUGUGGUGUCUGUUGUUUGAGGUAUGUGAUCAGGUGUUUCGUUUCUCUGUCAGCCUUGAAACAGGUUUGAUCAGUUUGAUGACGUACACCAAAGCCACACACCUCAAAUCUGCUUUAAAAGUAUUUAAUAUGUCAGUGUUUUAGUUUCCAUGUGAACACCUGGACUGUGAUAUGAAACCAAAGCAUUUUGACCAUAACACAUCAUCAAACUAAAAGUGUACCAGUAUGUAUGCAGGUGAAAAUGAUUUUUGUUUUAUUUUUUCCUGAUUUGUUGGAUAUUAAAGCCUUUUACAAACAUCA